GUGAACGCUGGCGGUAGGCCUAACCCAUGCCAGUCGCACGGCAGCACAGUAAGAGCUUGCUCUUACGGGUGGCGAGUGGCGGACGGGUGAGGAAUACAUCGGAAUCUACUUUUUCGUGGGGGAUAACGUAGGGAAACUUACGCUAAUACCGCAUACGACCUACGGGUGAAAACAGGGGAUCUUCGGACCUUGCGCGAUUGAAUGAGCCGAUGUCGGAUUAGCUAGUUGGCGGGGUAAAGGCCCACCAAGGCGACGAUCCGUAGCUGGUCUGAGAGGAUGAUCAGCCACACUGGAACUGAGACACGGUCCAGACUCCUACGGGAGGCAGCAGUGGGGAAUAUUGGACAAUGGGCGCAAGCCUGAUCCAGCCAUACCGCGUGGGUGAAGAAGGCCUUCGGGUUGUAAAGCCCUUUUGUUGGGAAAGAAAAGCAGCAGGUUAAUACCCCGCUGUUCUGACGGUACCCAAAGAAUAAGCACCGGCUAACUUCGUG
rnacentral:rRNA from 1 species